GGCCUGAAUGAAACUCGCGACGUACAUAGUGAGGCAAUCUAAUUUGAAUAUAUAUUUACACAGGUGCCACGCGCGGUUUUCGCGGCGGCCCUGCAACAUAGCACAGCGUGUUCAGUGGGAAGCUCGAGAUAGAAACCCGGCAGCAUACACGCAUCAUACAUGACACACAUCGGUGGUAGCACAACGGUUUGUCGCUUCCUUGCUUCAAUACUAAUCGCAUUAACGUCGGCACUAAUCGUGCGAUGGGUUCUGCCCAAAUUCUUGUGGUCAUAUAUGUUACUAGAAAUACUCACCGUGCGCAUCCGUCAGAAAUAAGAUUGCGCAGCCCCGGUAUUGAUAUAUUGAACUUGAGUGUCGGUGUGCUCAACGCAGGUUAACUUAUAUUUUUUCCUAUGGUUGCUCGCUGAUUUUCAGAACUAUGUUAUUUAAAUUUCAUAAAUACAAUCACAGAAAGUACAAUCUGUUCGCGUGCUAUUCCCAACAAAAAAAAAUCGCGUAUAAAGAACUUUAGUCACACUCCAUCUGCGAAAAGCAAAUACAUACGACAAAUAUGUAGAAAUCUUGAGUUCAGACAACUGAAACCAACCUGGCUGUCGUGUUUCAGCAGAAAUGGUAUUGUGAUGCUGUAAACCAGCUCAGCCGUUUGCAAUUACAAGUUACAUAAGGCGUCUUGCGCUGAGGUCGAAUUCGAAAACUCUCACAUACGCAGCGUAGGCAGCACAGUGAAAAAAAAAAAAAAAAGAAAAAAAAAAUAAACGGGACCGAUAUUGCGAUGUCUCCUAUGGAUCUUCUGUUUCUGGGCCAUUCUUACACGUCAGUUAUUUACUGAAUUUCUGAAUCGUCGUGCAACUUACAUAACUACUUAUUGCAGACUACACCAACAAUGCCACCGUGGGAGUAAAGACACUGAACCCAUUCAGCUUCCACCAGGCUGGCGUCGCCCUGGAGAUUCUCGUGAUGGCCGCCGAGGGAGCGCUACUCUUUGCGCUCGUCGUAUGGAGGGAUGCCAGACCAACAGCCAGAGGGCGCUUACUGACGCCCUUGCGCGGAUCGUUCGGUGCAUAUAAACGCUGGCACACUGAUGACACGGAGAAAGUCGAGGCAGAACUGGAUGCUGACGUUCGUGCUGAGAGGGAGCUCGUACAACGGGAGUUGCAAACUGGAGUCGACCCGGCAAGGAAUGCUGUGAUCGUCGACAAUGUGCAAAAGCGGUACACACGUCUACUUUGUCGCCGAUAUAUAAUUCUUGCUGAGUGCCAUUCUGAUGCAAAAGCAAGGAGCACACGUGUUUGCUACUUGACUGAAGAGUGCUUUUCGUGUACUUAAAGUACUCGUAAUAUGUGACAGCCGCAAAUGUUCAAAUUACCGUAUGUGCUUUUAGGUUCGGCCUGUGAUACUGCUCUCAAAUGACAAAAGAAAGAAAAA